rnacentral:rRNA from 1 species
GACGAACGCUGGCGGCGUGGAUUAGGCAUGCAAGUCGAACGGUAUCAUCCUUUCGGGGGUGAGAGAGUGGCGAACUGGUGAGUAACACGUAGGUUAUCUACCCUCAAGACGGGGACAACCCAGGGAAACUUGGGCUAAUACCGGAUGUGAGCAACUUUUAGUUGUUUGAAAGGUGGCGUAAGCUGUCGCUUGGGGAUGAGCCUGCGUCCUAUUAGUUAGUUGGUGAGGUAACGGCUCACCUAGGCAAUGAUAGGUAGGCGGCCUUAACGGGUGGUCGCCCACACUGGGAUUGAGAUACGGCCCAGACUCCUACGGGAGGCAGCAGUCGAGAAUAGUCUACAAUGGUCGGAAGACUGAUAGUGCGACGCCGCGUGAACGAUGAAAUCCCUUCGGGGUGUAAAGUUCUUUUAUAUGUGAGCAGUGCUUCUUAUAUUAACAGUAUGGGGAGAGAGAUAUUAGCAUAUGAAUAAGCAACGGCUAAACUCCGUGCCCAGCAGCCGCGGU